GCCUUCCUUUCAUUGUCAAAGAUAAAAGUGAUAGUCACAUAGAGGUAUCUGUUGCUGUUGACAUUGGGACCUGAAUUGUUAAGGUGGAUGACAAUGGAUCUGGUGUCUCACGAGAUGGACAGAUGCUGAGGAGAGAAUGAUAUGGUAAUCAUUUUGCAAAAUAUUGGACUGACAACGAUUAUGUUCGUAACUUGGAAUGGUUGUCGUAGU
rnacentral:misc_RNA from 1 species